GACUUAGAAUCGAGGCAUACAAUCCCGACAUCCAGGCACUUCGCAUCGGCAUCUUCGAGUCAUUUCGCAUUUGCACUCAACAAAUGGCUUUCAUCACCCUCGGGUGUCGGCCAGCACGUGCCUAUCUUGGUAUUCGGGGAAUAUUGGGAUCGGGGCAUGUCACUGCUGCCUGUGCGACACCUGGCAUUUGGGUUUGCUUUUAGUUUUCAAUUUAUAGAGCCUCUGAGCUCAGUUGUAAUCACAACGAAGAACUUUCACUUUGUAAACUAUAUUAUUGAGUGUUUGAGUAUUGUCUCUCUUUGCAACUUUGGUGCUAUCUUGUAACAUUGAAGUUGAAGAUUAAUAAAUUAAUGUGAGUUUGCUUCCCUA